GGGAUAGCCACGCCCACAAAGGACCACCCCCGAAGAAGACGAUCAUCUGCUUCGAGGGAUCCUUGGGAAUCGCUGGCUACCCCCGGACCUUGGCAUCAGCAUGGGACCAAGCAGCACAGAAGAAUGCAGGAUCGGCCCUGGGAUCAGCGCUGGAUCGGCCCUGGGAUCAUCGUGAGACCAAGCAAAGCAGAAGAACGCCAGAUGGGUGAGAUAAAUCCGUGGCGGAAAUGGGAGGCGAGUGAAUGAGUGCUUGAGUGAGAUGGGGGCCGGCAGCUCGGACCCCCAGAGCGAGAGUGGACCCCCUAGUAUCGCGUUUCCGGUCUCCCGAGAGGGUGCCGGCCGAGAACGGGCGGGAAGCGAAUAGCAUAGAAGAGUGACUGAGGCGCCUCCUUGGGGGAGGGCCCCAUCGAGCGUGCAAAGGCACAAAGGCUCUUGAGGUGUGAGGUAAGAUCCUCGGCAGGGCAGGUGAGAGGUCCCUGGCAGGGCUGCCCCAGAAGGCAGAUGAGAGGAGAUCCCCAACAGGGAAGGUAAUGUCCCUGGCAGGGCUGCCCCAGAAGGCAGAUGAGAGAUCCCCAACAGGGAAGGUAAUGUCCCUGGCAGGGCUGCCCCAGAAGGCAGGUGAGAGGAGACCCCAGCAGGGCAGGUGAGAGGUCUCUGGCAGGGCUGCUCCAGAAGGCAAGUAAAAGAAGAUCCCUGGCACAGCAGGAUGCCCCAUCAGGCAGGCAAGGGAUGAUCCCCGGCAGAGCAGGUGCAAGGUAAUGUCCCUGGCAUAACAAGACAAGAUGCUCCAGUAGGCAGGCGAGAGAAGAUCCCCAGCAGGGCAAGUGAGAGGCCCCUGGCAGGGUUACUCCAGAAGGCAGAUGAGAGAAGAUCCUCAGCAGGGCAGGUGAGAGGUCCCUGGCAGGGCUGCUCCAGAAGGGAAUUGAAAGAGGAUCCCUGGCACGGCAAGAUGCCCCAUCAGGCAGACGAGGAAAGAUCCCCGGCAGAGCAGGUGCAAGGUAAUGUCCCCGGCAUGGCAAAACAAGAUACCCCAGUAGGCAGGUGAGAAAAAGUCCCUGGCAGGGCAGGUAGAAAGUCUCGGGCAGGGCAGGAUGCCCUGACAGGCAGGCAAGGAAGAUCCCUAAUAGGGCAAGUGGGAAGUCCCUGGCAGGAUAGGGCAUGAUGUCCCAGGAGGCAGGUGGGCUGUCCCCAAGACAGUUUAAGCAUAUCCGGGCAAGCAAGUAAGAUAUCAUUACCAAGCAGGAAAGCAGGCAUAAAGGUGAGGAAACAGACAAGAAAGCAGACAGGCAAGCAAGAAGGAAAGCAAGAUUUAUGAGCAAAAAAAAAAAAAGGCAAACAAAAAGAGCAGCCAGAUAAACAAAAAGGGAGGCGAAGGGGACUCGGCCGGAGUUCAGGUGUGAGGCUCGGCAGGACGUUCGACCUCACCCCGGCAGGGAGUUCGAGUCUCCUAAGCCUUGUAGGAAAGGGAGGCGAAGGGGACUCGGCCGGAGUUCGGGUGUGAGGCUCGGCAGGACGUUCGACCUCACCCCGGCAGGGAGUUCGAGUCUCCUAAGCCUUGUAGGAAAGGGAGGCGAAGGGGACUCGGCCGGAGUUCGGGUGUGAGGCUCGGCAGGACGUUCGACCUCACCCCGGCAGGGAGUUCGAGUCUCCUAAGCCUAGGGGGCAAGGGGGGCUUGGCCGGAGUUCAGGUGUGAGGCUCAGCAGGACGUUCGACCUCAGCCUGGCAGGGAGUUCAAGCCUCCUAAGCCUUGUAGGAAAGGGAGGCGAAGGGGACUCGGCCGGAGUUCGGGUGUGAGGCUCGGCAGGACGUUCGACCUCACCCCGGCAGGGAGUUCGAGUCUCCUAAGCCUAGGGGGCAAGGGGGGCUUGGCCGGAGUUCAGGUGUGAGGCUCGGCAGGACGUUCGACCUCAGCCUGGCAGGGAGUUCAAGCCUCCUAAGCCUUGUAGGAAAGGGAGGCGAAGGGGACUCGGCCGGAGUUCGGGUGUGAAGCUCGGCAGGACGUUCGACCUCACCCCGGCAGGGAGUUCAAGUCUCCUAAGCCUAGGGGGCAAGGGGGGCUUGGCCGGAGUUCAGGUGUGAGGCUCGGCAGGACGUUCGACCUCAGCCUGGCAGGGAGUUCAAGCCUCCUAAGCCUUGUAGGAAAGGGAGGCGAAGGGGACUCGGCCGGAGUUCGGGUGUGAGGCUCGGCAGGACGUUCGACCUCACCCCGGCAGGGAGUUCGAGUCUCCUAAGCCUAGGGGGCAAGGGGGGCUUGGCCGGAGUUCAGGUGUGAGGCUCGGCAGGACGUUCGACCUCAGCCUGGCAGGGAGUUCAAGCCUCCUAAGCCUUGUAGGAAAGGGAGGCAAAGGGGACUCGGCCGGAGUUCGGGUGUGAGGCUCGGCAGGACGUUCGACCUCACCCCGGCAGGGAGUUCGAGUCUCCUAAGCCUAGGGGGCAAGGGGGGCUUGGCCGGAGUUCAGGUGUGAGGCUCGGCAGGACGUUCGACCUCAGCCUGGCAGGGAGUUCAAGCCUCCUAAGCCUUGUGAAGUUAGAGAGUUCAAACAAGACUCAGCAGGGGUCCAAGCCUAGAAAGCCUAGAAGGAAGUUCAGACUUAAGUCGAAAAGUUAAGAGAGAUACCCUUAGCAGAAAACAAUGGGUGUGAUUCAUAGUAGUAAGUGUCAUAGCCAAGAGAGAGUUUUAAAAAGAGACAGACGAAAAAGUUUCUAAAGUGGGUUGCCAAGAAAUUAUAUUCUGACCCUUUAAAGUUCAGCAAAGAGAUUCAGAAUGUUUAGUUGUGAGAGAUCAGACAACCUUUAGUUAUCUUAAAGUUUAGAUUGCCAAUCAGAAUAUUCCAGUUUAGAUUGAAGCAUUGUUAAAGUACUUCGUUUUUCCUUUUAUUUUAAGGCCUAAAAACUGAGAUGAUGUUAUAGUAAACAAGCAGACCCUUCCAAAAGGACAGUAAAGAAGAUUCUCCCUAACAUCCCCCUAGAACAAUUGUCAGACCAAUAAUAUCCUUAAAAGACCACAAAGAGUCCAGAUAAAGUUAAGAUGACAUGUUAUAGUAAAAGAAUAUAGCUGAGAUUAAAAUUACAAAGAGAGUAGUCAUAGUGUAAGACCUGAAUUCAGUAAAUGUGUAACCACUUAAACCAACACCUCUAAGCCCAAGAAGACCCUGAUGUAAAACCACUAUCUUAUGCAGCCUGCUGGCUAGAAAACUAUAAGUAAUGAAAAUGUGAAAAGAUGCAAACUCUCCCUCCUACCCCAGCUGUACCUCCAGUCUCUUCCUUAACCUCUCCAACAGUUCCCCUUCACCAAUUGUGAUACCCUCACUUCCCCACUUGGGAGUGGGAACCACCCCUGCCCAGUGUUUCUCUUGGCCUGUCUCCACUACUGCUCCCUCUACCUGGUGUUUUAGAGGAAGAGACAGAUUACAACACCCAAUCCAAAGCACCAAGAACAGAGGAGGUCUUUCCCCUUAGAAAAGUUCCUAUAGAUUAAUUAAAAAGAUUAAAAUUUAUAAAUGCACCUUUGACAGCCCCUGAAGCCCAAGACUCUAAGAAAGAGAGAGGGUUUAGUAGAAGACCCCAUUAGAAUGUCUAACCAGCUAGACCAGCUUCUGAGGCCAAAUAGUUAUUUCUAGAGAGAGUUAAACUCUAUUCUAAUAGUUCCGUUCACUCCAGAAGAAGCCUGGAUAGUCCAGAUAGCAAAAAAAAAAAAAAAAAAAAAAAAAUAGACUGUGACACCCAAGAGACCAUAAGAUGCCCUUAAUAGACACCAGCUAAAAUUCAGACCAAGAAAAAAAAAAAAAAAAAAGCGAAGCAUGAGAGA